AUAAUUAGGAGAUACCAUGAUCACGAAGGUGGUUUUCCCAGGGCGAGGCUCACCCAUUGCUCUCCGGGUAUGCUGACCCCUGCGAUUUCCCCAAAUGUGGGAAACUCGACUGCAUAAUUUGUGGUAGUGGGGGACUGCAUUCGUGCUAUCCCCUG
rnacentral:snRNA from 1 species